GGCCAAACUCCAUCACCAACCAAACACAACCUCUUGGCUUUAUUUAACUUGUGCCUUGCGGAUGUUUUCGUUGUCGAGGGAAUACGAACGUCGUACGAGAACCUUUCUCCCUCCUCCACCUUUCUCCUUUUCUUGCCACGGCAAAACACCUUCGCCGGCGAGAGCAUGGCGAUGGCGUACCGUGUCCUGGAGGUCACCCUGGUGUCGGCAAAUGACCUCAAGAAAGUGUCGCUCUUCUCCCGGACUCGCAUCUACGCCGUGGCUUCCAUCUCCGGAUUCGACCUCCGCAUCCCUUCCCACAGCACCCAAGCAGACCACAGCAACGGCUGCAACCCCUGCUGGAACGCCGUGGUACACUUCCCCAUCCCGGCUGCCGCUGACACCCGCGGCCUCGCACUCCACGUGAGGCUCCGCGCCCAGCGUCUAUACCUGGGCGAUCGCGACAUCGGCGAGGUGUUUGUGCCCAUCGACGACCUCCUGGCCGGCGCCGACAAGGGUGGCGAUCCGAGGCCCGUGAGCUACCAGGUGCGCAGGCCGCACUCUGGCCGCGCCCACGGCGUCCUCUACUUCUGCUAUAAGUUCACCGAGGUCCCCGCCGUCUCUUGUGUCUCGGAACCGGAAAGCAAACAAGUCCAGUACGCCAAGAAGUACGUGCAGGACUCCAAGAACACGACGGACAAGACUAUGGUGCCGCCCACCGUGUACCCACCGCCGCAGGCCAUGGCGUCCGCAUACCCGCCGCAACAAUAUUGUUCGCCGU
rnacentral:lncRNA from 1 species